AAAACACUACACUACCCACAAUGCACCUCUACAAAGACGACCAAAAGGAACAACAAAGCACUCCAGCCUCAAUGACAGCUGAGCAAAGUUUUGCCGGGGGAAAUUUCAGUGCUGACUACACCCUCGAACGGACACGAAUAAGUUAACAAUCCCCACCUCUGCCUCUUCCUACAGUUGCUGUGUCCCUUUAUAAGUCACAUUUCGUACAGCGCUGCCAGCCCAUAAUAGCGCUCCAUGGAGCAGGGAAUGUUUCACCUGAAGCACUCGCAUUGAACAAGAGUGACUACCCAGCUUAAGUAAAUCUCGAUUGUAUUCCAGCCUGUACCUUCUCCCUGAGCCACCAGGGGGCCCCCAGUCCCACAGGUUGACUUCAGAAAGAGUUGGCCUCACCAUCCACCAUCAAGCUCACCCAUCGUGUUUUCUUCUUGUACUCCUCAUUCUUCCACCUCCUGGCCCACCUGGACUCCCAGUCCGCCUUCUCCCUCCAUGGGGGCUGGGGGGAGGUGCCAGGG